AGAUUGAACGCUGGCGGCAGGCCUAACACAUGCAAGUCGAGCGGCAGCACGGGUACUUGUACCUGGUGGCGAGCGGCGGACGGGUGAGUAAUGCCUAGGAAUCUGCCUGAUAGUGGGGGAUAACGCUCGGAAACGGACGCUAAUACCGCAUACGUCCUACGGGAGAAAGCAGGGGACCUUCGGGCCUUGCGCUAUCAGAUGAGCCUAGGUCGGAUUAGCUAGUUGGUGAGGUAAUGGCUCACCGAAGGCGACGAUCCGUAACGUGGUCUGAGAGGAUGAUCAGUCACACGUGAACUGAGACACGGUACCAGACCUCCGUACGGGAGCAGCAGGUAGGGGAAUAGUUAGGAACAAGUGGGACGAAAGCCUAGAUCCGAGCCAGUCGCCGUCGUGUGUGAAAGGUAGUCGUUCGAAUUAGUAAAGCUUAACGUUUUUAAGGUAGGGAAGGUAAA
rnacentral:rRNA from 1 species